GAUGAACGCUGGCGGCGUGCCUAAGACAUGCAAGUCGAGUGGGUUUAGACCCACGGCGAACGGGUGAGUAAUACCUAGGAACUUUCUUUAAGUUGAGGAUAUCCCAUCGAAAGAUGGUGCAAUACUCAAUGUGGCAGUAAUGCUAAAGCAGCAAUGCGCUUAAAGUGAGGCCUGGGCACCAUCAGCUAGUUGGUAAGGUAACGGCUUACCAAGGCUAUGACGGUUAGGGGUCCCGAGAGGGAUAACCCCCACACUGGAACUGCGACACGG
rnacentral:rRNA from 1 species